GGGGCAACCCUGGUGGCGAGUGGCGAACGGGUGAGUAAUAUAUCGGAACGUGCCCAGUCGUGGGGGAUAACGUAGCGAAAGUUACACUAAUACCGCAUACGCUCUACGGAGGAAAGCGGGGGUCGCAAGACCUCGCACUACAGGAGCGGCCGAUAUCGGAUUAGCUAGUUGGCGGGGUAAAAGCCCACCAAGGCUACGAUCCGUAGCUGGUCUGAGAGGAUGAUCAGCCACACUGGAACUGAGACACGGUCCAGACUCCUACGGGAGGCAGCAGUGGGGAAUUUUGGACAAUGGGCGCAAGCCUGAUCCAGCCAUGCCGCGUGAGUGAAGAAGGCCUUCGGGUUGUAAAGCUCUUUCGGCAGGAACGAAAUGGUUCGUGCUAAUACCACGGACUGAUGACGGUACCUGAAGAAGAAGCACCGGCUAACUACGUGCCAGCAGCCGCGGUAAUACGUAGGGUGCAGGCGUUAAUCGGAAUUACUGGGCGUAAAGCGUGCGCAGGCGGUUUCUUAAGUCAGAUGUGAAAGCCCCGGGCUUAACCUGGGAACUGCGUUUGAAACUGGGAGACUUGAGUGUGGCAGAGGGGGGUGGAAUUCCACGUGUAGCAGUGAAAUGCGUAGAUAUGUGGAGGAACACCGAUGGCGAAGGCAGCCCCCCUGGGUUAACACUGACGCUCAUGCACGAAAGCGUGUGGAGCAAACAGGAUUAGAUACCCUGGUAGUCCACGCCCUACACUAUGUCAACUGGUUGUCGGGGGAUUAACUCCCUAGGUAACGAAGCUACGCGUGAAGUUGACCGCCUGGGGAGUACGCCGCAAGGUUAAAACUCAAGGAAUUGACGGGGACCCGCACAAGCGGUGGAUUAUGUGGAUUAAUUCGAUGCAACGUGAAAAUCUUACCUACCCUUGACAUGUACGGGAUCUCCCAGAGAUGGGAAAGUGCCCGAAAGGGAACCGUAACACACGUGCUGCAUGGCUGUCGUCAGCUUCGUGUCGUGAGA
rnacentral:rRNA from 1 species